rnacentral:rRNA from 1 species
UACGUAGGGCGCAAGCGUUGUCCGGAAUUAUUGGGCGUAAAGAGCUCGUAGGCGGUUUGUCGCGUCUGCUGUGAAAACCUAAGGCUCAACCUUGGGCUUGCAGUGGGUACGGGCAGACUAGAGUGCGGUAGGGGGUGACUGGAAUUCCUGGUGUAGCGGUGGAAUGCGCAGAUAUCAGGAGGAACACCGAUGGCGAAGGCAGGUCACUGGGCCGCAACUGACGCUGGAGAACGCGAAGGCGUGGGGAGGCGAACGGG